GCGCCUAUAACUCAGCCUGGAUAGAGUACGAAACUUCUAAUUUCGCGGUCGCAGGUUCGAAUCCUGCUAGGCGCGCCA
rnacentral:tRNA from 1 species